GGCGAACGCUGGCGGCGUGCUUAACACAUGCAAGUCGAACGGAAAGGCCUUUUCGGAGGUACUCGAGUGGCGAACGGGUGAGUAACACGUGGGUGAUCUGCCCUGCACUCUGGGAUAAGCCUGGGAAACUGGGUCUAAUACCGGAUAGGACCGCACUUUAGUGUGUGUGGUGGAAAGUUUUUUCGGUGUAGGAUGAGCCCGCGGCCUAUCAGCUUGUUGGUGGGGUAAUGGCCUACCAAGGCGGCGACGGGUAGCCGGACUGAGAGGUUGGUCGGCCACAUUGGGACUGAGAUACGGCCCAGACUCCUACGGGAGGCAGCAGUGGGGAAUAUUGCACAAUGGGCGCAAGCCUGAUGCAGCGACGCCGCGUGGGGGAUGACGGCCUUCGGGUUGUAAACUCCUUUCGCCAGGGACGAAGCGUUUUGUGACGGUACCUGGAGGAGAAGCACCGGCUAACUACAUG
rnacentral:rRNA from 1 species